rnacentral:rRNA from 1 species
UACAUGGGGUGCAAACGUUGCUCGGAAUUAGUGGGCGUAAAGCGCGCGUAGGCGGUUACUUAAGUCGGAUGUGAAAGCCCUCGGCUUAACUGAGGAAGUGCACCCGAAACUGAGUAGCUAGAGUACGAAAGAGGGUCGCGGAAUUCCCGGUGUAGAGGUGAAAUUCGUAGAUAUCGGGAGGAACACCGGUGGCGAAGGCGGCGACCUGGGUCGAGACUGACGCUGAGGCGCGAAAGCGUGGGGAGCAAACAGG